rnacentral:rRNA from 1 species
UGGGGAAUAUUGGACAAUGGGCGCAAGCCUGAUCCAGCCAUGCCGCGUGAGUGACGAAGGUCUUCGGAUUGUAAAACUCUUUUUGGCGGGGACGAUAAUGACGGUACCCGCAGAAUAAGCCCCGGCUAACUUCGUGCCAGCAGCCGCGGUAAUACGAAGGGGGCUAGCGUUGUUCGGAAUCACUGGGCGUAAAGCGCACGUAGGCGGAUGUGCCAGUCAGGGGUGAAAUCCCGGAGCUCAACUCCGGAACUGCCUCUGAUACUGCACGUCUUGAGUUCGAGAGAGGUGGGUGGAAUUCCUAGUGUAGAGGUGAAAUUCGUAGAUAUUAGGAAGAACACCGGUGGCGAAGGCGGCCCACUGGCUCGAUACUGACGCUGAGGUGCGAAAGCGUGGGGAGCAAACAGGAUUAGAUACCCUAGUAGUCCCUGAGCGGGCUGGCAAGGCGCAU